AGCCUUUAGAAAUGAAGAUUAAUACCGCAUAGUAUGUUUAAAUGGCAUCAUUUAGAUAUUAAAGAUUUAUCGGUAAAAGAUGAGUAUGCGUUCUAUUAGCUAGAUGGUAAGGUAACGGCUUACCAUGGCAACGAUAGAUAGGGGCCCUGAGAGGGGGAUCCCCCACACUGGUACUGAGACACGGACCAGACUCCUACGGGAGGCAGCAGUGAGGAAUAUUGGACAAUGGGCGCAAGCCUGAUCCAGCCAUGCCGCGUGCAGGAAGACUGCCCUAUGGGUUGUAAACUGCUUUUAUACAGGAGGAAACACCCCCUCGUGAGGGGGCUUGACGGUACUGUAAGAAUAAGGAUCGGCUAACUCCGUGCCAGCAGCCGCGGUAAUACGGAGGAUCCAAGCGUUAUCCGGAAUCAUUGGGUUUAAAGGGUCCGUAGGUGGAUAAUUAAGUCAGAGGUGAAAGUCUGCAGCUCAACUGUAGAAUUGCCUUUGAUACUGGUUAUCUUGAGUCAUUAUGAAGUGGUUAGAAUAUGUAGUGUAGCGGUGAAAUGCAUAGAUAUUACAUAGAAUACCAAUUGCGA
rnacentral:rRNA from 1 species